rnacentral:lncRNA from 1 species
CACAAUUACAGGUCAUACCUACCUGGUGUGAGAGCGACCUGCUGUAUGAAAAAACCCUUCAGGAGACCCAGUGCAUGGAGCUGUCCUGUGGAUUUGACAAUAGGCAAACUGGGCUUCGCUAUCCACGGAGAACUGACCUCAAACAGCGGACGGACUCAUGCAGAUUGAGCUCAGAGAUCCCGACGACAUUAGUUUGACCUGGGUCGUGUCACUAGCCGACCAUGACUUGGACUCUCUAGGUAGCGAUGCACAAUGAUCCGAGCACCACUGGGACAGGGCUGAGAGUCGUCCACCAGGGGUCUCCAGCAUUCCGGCAAACAGUGACCCCAGUGACCUCUCAGUGAAGACUGCAGGAGUGCAGGAGCUGCUACUGCACAAAUGAGCCUUAAACGCAACAAUUUGCAAUUUCAAACUGGGUGGAUAUAAAAAAUAAAGCUAACACAGACAACCAACAUAAAUUGUAAACUGUAUGUACAGCCUCAUUUUAGUAAAGAAAAUCCC